AUGAAGCGGUCAUCUGCAAGAGCCGGUGCCGUGACAGCUUUAAGCCGGGCCAAGGCAUGGCUAACAGAGCUAGACCCGACCGAGAUAGCUACUGGGUACCCAAGCUUAAAGGAAGAUGGCACUCCCUUUGAGAAGAAAGACUUUGCUGCCUGCGUAAAGGAGAUACGUCCCCUGGCCAGCCUGAUUGCAAAUGAAACGGAUCUUUCAAAAUACCAACCGGCUUAUAACAUGGAGAAUCAGAAGAUGCCCACGCCGGCUUAUAAAGUGAUGGAUCUAAUCCCCCAAUUUGUAAGCAUACUUUCGCCCCUGAAGUUGAACCGUCUGAACUUAUAG
rnacentral:rRNA from 1 species